UCAUAAACAUCUAAGUUGAAUGUUUAUGACGUUGAAUAUCAACAUCAUAAACAUCUAAGUUGAAUGUUUAUAACGUUAAAUAUCAACGUCAUAAACAUUCAACUUAGAUGUUUAUGACGGCGAUAUUCGACGUCAUAAACACGAUCAAUCAACUUAGAUGUUUAUGA
rnacentral:miRNA from 1 species